UACGGAGGGUGCAAGCGUUAAUCGGAAUUACUGGGCGUAAAGCGCGCGCAGGCGGUUUGUUAAGUCUGCUGUGAAAUCCCCGAGCUCAACUUGGGAAUUGCAGUGGAUACUGGCAAGCUGGAGUACGGUAGAGGAAGGUGGAAUUCCCGGUGUAGCAGUGAAAUGCGUAGAGAUCGGGAGGAACACCAGUGGCGAAGGCGGCCUUCUGGACCAGUACUGACGCUCAUGCACGAAAGCGUGGGGAGCAAACAGG
rnacentral:rRNA from 1 species